rnacentral:rRNA from 1 species
CACUUUUCACCCGGUUAAUACAAGCGAAGGUGUAAAUAAGUAAAAGGGGUAGUAUUGGGGGGUAGUAUGAGGGGGUUUACUUGUGUUAAGGGAAAAUGUACAACCUACGCCUAGCCACCUCCCCCCGCAUACCUGAUACUAGAAAUUUGGGGUAUGGACAGGGAUUUGGUACCCCACUACUCCCAGAUGUAAAUUAGUGCCGGGGAACUACGGACAUAUGUCUAAAACCCAAAGAACUUGGCGGUGGUGCAGAUCAAUCUAGGGGAGCAUGACGGUUAAUUCGAUGGCCCACGAGAAUCUUACCUCUUUUUGCUAUCAGCUUGUAUACCGUCGUUGUCAGUCCCUCCUAUAAGGGAGUUUUAGGGGACCCAGCCUAUAGAUAUAAAAGUGUAUUUUAUACUACUAGACGACUUCAGAUAAACGUGCAGCCUAUGAAGAGGGCUUAGUUGUGCUACAAUUCUUUUAGAAAACGGGACUUUAUUUAUUCUUCUGAAAUGGAGGGGUUAAGGUGGACUUAGCAGUAAAAAAAUAGAAUGAAUUC